rnacentral:rRNA from 1 species
GUCUACAGCCAUACCACCCUGAACGCACCCGAUCUCAUCUGAUCUCAGAAGCUAAGCAGGGUCAGGCCUGCUUAGUACUUAGAUCGGAGACCACCUGGGAAUACCGGGUGCUGUAGGCU